AUUUGGAGAUACUGGAUCCACCCGCUGACUGCUUCCAGUGUUUUUUUCACUAAUAUGCCAAGAGCAACAUUCCAACUAAUCACCUUAAUGGAAAUUAGAGAGGAAAAUGGUCUAUCAGGCCAUCUAAUCUAUCCUCACUCAGAAGAAUUUUCAUACAUUUUCCUGUCCAGCUUUAAAUUCAAAAAACAAUCCAUGAGAAUUACCCUGCAGACUUGAGAGGCUGUUAUACUCCCAAAGCUCAGAAGAGAGAGGCAAUGUUAAUAAGGGUUGCUAAAAAUGUUUUCUGAUGAUCAAGUGCAUAUUCGUUCUGGAGGUCUGAUUUUAACCCAUAGCUUUAUGAUGAACAUCCCUCUGACAGCUUAAACAUGUGUUCUCUGCUCUCCAUCCAUACACCUGUCAGCACGACCCUACCAGGUUCUUAAUGCCUUUUUUAUGUUCCCUUACAGAAGGUUAACAGAGAAGUGCAGUUUAGGGCCUCGUUCUAUGCAGGAACAUGACUACUUAAUUAUGUCCAAAUUCUUGCUUUUUUUUUUGCUUUUUUUUUUUUUUUUCCUUCCCAUUUAGGCACAGCGAUGACUGAUUUUUUUCUCUGAAGCGAUUGGAGAAGCUGGAAUUUUCUUUGGUUUGGCCCCAAUAGGCAUUCAGUGCUGUUUGUCAGACCUUCAUGCUGGACAGGUGUACCCAUCACAGAACAAGCACACGGUGUGACAGCACAUGGGAGCUCUCUGGGGCAGGUUGUAAGCAUAGUCUCCAAGCAUUUGCCAGUGCUACAGACUUCAGGCUUUGCUUUACAAACACAACUUGUGGAACCAAGCAAAGGACAAGCAGAAAACAGCCCGUGUCCUCAGCCUCACAGUGCAUGGAUACCUCUUGUAACUUCCUUCCUCUGAAGUCCCAACUGAGCACAAAAAGUAAUGGAGGAACCUUCUUCAGAGAAGAACAAACCUAAACUUAAUGGCAAUGCGCAUCUCUCACCUAGUAUAUCUUCAUGGUUUAAAAUGGAAGUGCUGAAAAGAGUACACGCUGGGUCUGCUCUCCUGACCGUGUCACCUUAGCAAACUUCUCCUCGUGAGCUGUUUAAACCUUCAAGCUUGCUUGUAUUUGCUAUGGGAAUGAAUAGGAUUGCAGGAGCUUUAGCACGCAGCAGAGGCUCGUGGGCUAGCAGCUUUUGAGGUUAUACCCAUGAGUGCUCGAGCAGAGCUGGCACAGCUAAUUCCUCUGUCUGCAGAGGGUGAAGUGAAGGCAGAGGGAAGCUGAGUGUUCAGUGCUGAUGGUCACGGAGGGAGCCAGAGACACGGCCGAGGCUGAAUCCGAAGGCUCUCAAUGUGCUGUCAGAGAACAAAUAGUAUUUCCUCUUAAUUCACUGUUUUCCCUCAUGAAAAGAAUCAUGUCUCAUGGUUUUCUCUCCCCAUUGUUCCUAUGACUCACAUAAGCCACGGGCAUGAUACAGGCAAUGAAGCUUUGCAUUAAUCUACUGUCCAGAUUGAUAACUCUAAGGAGCAGCUCAUAAUGACCAAAAUGUGAUUAAUCAUGAUACACGUGUGAUACCCAUGCUCAUUAUUACUGGCCUCCAGAACAGUGCUGCUGAUUCCUGCCAAUAUGCUCAUUUUCAUAUCUGGAAGAGACAAUACUGUAAUUACUGCCAAAGUAUGCAGGAAAAUUAAGCAGCAGCUCGGUCUGCGUUCUGCAUCAGGCUAGUGAGGAGGAGUAUAGAAAAGCAUGGGAAUCAACAGCUACAAGGAAUAACAAGUAUUUUCUGUGUAUACUUUAUUUUAAAUAGAUGUUGUCUGACGCAGCCAUUUAGUUUGAACUGUUGCCCUGCAGAAUUCUUUCUGGAAGAGGAGAGUGUAGGGCAUGUUGGACACAACAGCAGGAUUAAAAAAAAAAAAAGGAGCUGAUGAAGCAUAUUU
ensembl:lncRNA